AGCCCCAAACCCUCCAUGCUUCGCUCCCUGCUGUUGAUGAAGAGCAGAGCCAAGUAAGACCUUCACGAGAUGGGGGAGCGCUUGACCGGCGGAACUCCUUGCCAGGAGAGCACCACCUAGCAGCAGCAGCAGCAGCAGCACAGCGGCCCAAGGGGCGGGCAAAGCUGCUGGGGCGGUUGUGGAGUGGAGUCGUCGCCCUUUGCAAGGCCCCCAAAGGUACCAGGAAAAGCCGCUUCCAGGCCCACCCACCUCCCCCGGGAAGAAGCGCUGCCGCUCUAGGACGCCCCUCCGCGACCCCUUCCCUGAGCAUCUGGGGGGGGAGGGAGGGGAGGACGAAGCCAGCAGCGCCUCAGGGAACCCUGCAGGGAAGAGGGGGCCGCGGAGGGGGCGCAGGCCAGGGGGCCGGUCGCCACGGCGGCAGCCCAGAGCCGGAAGCCACAGCGGGGUCCAGGCAGGGUUGCUUUCUGGAGGGAGCCGCUCCUCCGCCUGCCGCCUGUUGCGCAUGCUCAGUAGCCAGAGUCCACGAGACGACUCCUGCAGCCCAGGCGAGUCAAAACCUGGCCAGACAUCCAUGCUGCCAGGCUAUCCAAAAGGGCACGGAGGCUUCAGGGCGGGCCACUGGGCGUGCGCAGCCGCCGGUACAGACAUGCGCAGAGACGCAAAGCCUCGGCGGGGGAAUUCUGGCGGGCUUUCUGCGCUCCUGCCCGCGCGCCCCUGAGAGCCGACCCACUCCUCUGAUUGGUUGGCGGGGUGACAGGCGCAUCACUGACUGGCGAGCAGCUGGACAGCGGGCUCCGCCUCCCGCAGCUGAAGCUCGCGACGCCUCCAGCCACGUUUGACUGAGAAAUAAUUGGAACACCUGAGGCGGCAAGAGCCGCAGCAGGAGGAAGACCAGCAGGGCCGAGAAGGAAGGGUUCUCCUCAGGGAACUAGGGGGCUUCACGCCCCACACUGCAGCAGGAGGGCCAGGGCUGGGGAGGAGAGGCCCUCCUCAGGGAACUAGGGGGCUUCACGCCCCACAUUGCCCCUACUCAGCUGCUGAGGAAGACCAGCCACAAGCCUCUAAGGGGCAGAGAAAUGCUGUGAGGGAAGGCUGUCUCCAGGACAGGGCAAGGAAGGGCUUUAUGCCCAGCCUUGGCCUUUACCUCAACAAUAAUAGGAAUAGUUUCUGAGGGAAGGCUGUCUUCAGGACAGUGCAAAAAAGGGCUCUAUGCCCAGCCUUGGACCUUGCCUCAACAAUAAUAGGAAUAGUUUCUGAGGGAAGGCUGUCUCCAGGACAGGGCAAGGAAGGGCUUUAUGCCCAGCCUUGGCCUUUACCUCAACAAUAAUAGGAAUAGUUUCUGAGGGAAGGCUGUCUUCAGGACAGUGCAAAAAAGGGCUCUAUGCCCAGCCUUGGACCUUGCCUCAACAAUAAUAGGAAUAGUUUCUGAGGGAAGGCUGUCUUCAGGACAGUGCAAAAAAGGGCUUUAUGCCCAGCCUUGGACUUUGCCUCAACAAUAAUAGGAAUAGUUUCUGAGGGAAGGCUGUCUUCAGGACAGUGCAAAAAAGGGCUCUAUGCCCAGCCUUGGACCUUGCCUCAACAAUAAUAGGAAUAGUUUCUGAGGGAAGGCUGUCUUCAGGACAGUGCAAGGAAGGGCUUUAUGCCCAGCCUUGGCCUUUACCUCAACAAUAAUGGGAAUAGUUUCUGAGGGAAGGCUGUCUUCAGGACAGUGCAAAAAAGGGCUCUAUGCCCAGCCUUGGACCUUGCCUCAACAAUAAUAGGAAUAGUUUCUGAGGGAAGGCUGUCUUCAGGACAGUGCAAAAAAGGGCUUUAUGCCCAGCCUUGGACUUUGCCUCAACAAUAAUAGGAAUAGUUUCUGAGGGAAGGCUGUCUUCAGGACAGUGCAAAAAAGGGCUCUAUGCCCAGCCUUGGACCUUGCCUCAACAAUAAUAGGAAUAGUUUCUGAGGGAAGGCUGUCUUCAGGACAGUGCAAGGAAGGGCUUUAUGCCCAGCCUUGGCCUUUACCUCAACAAUAAUGGGAAUAGUUUCUGAGGGAAGGCUGUCUUCAGGACAGUGCAAAAAAGGGCUUUAUGCCCAGCCUUGGACUUUGCCUCAACAAUAAUAGGAAUAGUUUCUGAGGGAAGGCUGUCUUCAGGACAGUGCAAGGAAGGGCUUUAUGCCCAGCCUUGGCCUUUACCUCAACAAUAAUGGGAAUAGUUUCUGAGGGAAGGCUGUCUUCAGGACAGUGCAAAAAAGGGCUCUAUGCCCAGCCUUGGACUUUGCCUCAACAAUAAUAGGAAUAGUUUCUGAGGGAAGGCUGUCUUCAGGACAGUGCAAAAAAGGGCUUUAUGCCCAGCCUUGGACUUUGCCUCAACAAUAAUAGGAAUAGUUUCUGAGGGAAGGCUGUCUUCAGGACAGUGCAAAAAAGGGCUUUAUGCCCAGCCUUGGACUUUGCCUCAACAAUAAUAGGAAUAGUUUCUGAGGGAAGGCUGUCUUCAGGACAGUGCAAGGAAGGGCUUUAUGCCCAGCCUUGGCCUUUACCUCAACAAUAAUAGGAAUAGUUUCUGAGGGAAGGCUGUCUUCAGGACAGUGCAAAAAAGGGCUUUAUGCCCAGCCUUGGACUUUGCCUCAACAAUAAUAGGAAUAGUUUCUGAGGGAAGGCUGUCUUCAGGACAGUGCAAAAAAGGGCUUUAUGCCCAGCCUUGGACUUUGCCUCAACAAUAAUAGGAAUAGUUUCUGAGGGAAGGCUGUCUUCAGGACAGUGCAAGGAAGGGCUUUAUGCCCAGCCUUGGCCUUUACCUCAACAAUAAUAGGAAUAGUUUCUGAGGGAAGGCUGUCUUCAGGACAGUGCAAAAAAGGGCUUUAUGCCCAGCCUUGGACUUUGCCUCAACAAUAAUAGGAAUAGUUUCUGAGGGAAGGCUGUCUUCAGGACAGUGCAAGGAAGGGCUUUAUGCCCAGCCUUGGCCUUUACCUCAACAAUAAUAGGAAUAGUUUCUGAGGGAAGGCUGUCUUCAGGACAGUGCAAAAAAGGGCUUUAUGCCCAGCCUUGGACUUUGCCUCAACAAUAAUAGGAAUAGUUUCUGAGGGAAGGCUGUCUUCAGGACAGUGCAAAAAAGGGCUUUAUGCCCAGCCUUGGACUUUGCCUCAACAAUAAUAGGAAUAGUUUCUGAGGGAAGGCUGUCUUCAGGACAGUGCAAAAAAGGGCUUUAUGCCCAGCCUUGGCCUUUACCUCAACAAUAAUAGGAAUAGUUUCUGAGGGAAGGCUGUCUUCAGGACAGUGCAAGGAAGGGCUUUAUGCCCAGCCUUGGACUUUGCCUCAACAAUAAUAGGAAUAGUUUCUGAGGGAAGGCUGUCUUCAGGACAGUGCAAAAAAGGGCUUUAUGCCCAGCCUUGGCCUUUACCUCAACAAUAAUAGGAAUAGUUUCUGAGGGAAGGCUGUCUUCAGGACAGUGCAAAAAAGGGCUUUAUGCCCAGCCUUGGCCUUUACCUCAACAAUAAUAGGAAUAGUUUCUGAGGGAAGGCUGUCUUCAGGACAGUGCAAAGAAGGGCUUUAUGCCCAGCCUUGGACUUUACCUCAACAAUAAUAGGAAUAGUUUCUGAGGGAAGGCUGUCUCCAGGACAGGGCAAGGAAGGGCUCUAUGCCCAGCCUUGGCUUUUACCUCACCAAAAUAAGGAUAAUAAAUCUCUGUUGCUUCAAAAAAAGGAGGAGGAAACCACUCAAGCCAUGCUACUUAGCCAGGAUAUGGCUUUUUAAAAGAAUACUUUGUGGGAGAGUGGUGGGAAAACGGUCUUCAAGACCCCUGCCAAAAGCCAGUUUCUGAGGGGAAGUGAAGUUUCUGAGUGGGGAGUUCAUCUCCCUGCUUUGGCUUCAUCUUGUGCAAUAAAUAAAUAAAUAAAUCAGAGGGGAAAGGAAGUUUCUGAGUGGGGAGUUCAUCUCUCUGCUUUGGCUUCAUCUUGCCAAAAUAACUCAAACCCCUUCUGUGGAUGCUGCAGCCGUGCUGACGUGUGCAAAAGCCCGGCCACCUCACUGCCCACAUUUGUAGCAUUUGUCUGCAGAGGGCAACACGCGACAGAUUCUCCCCGUCCUCAGAACACUGGGGCGCCACAGUCUUCUGCAUCACGGUGAAAAUCUGUCCACUCUUAGAGCGUUCUUGCUCUGUGCAGACAAAUGCUAGAACUAUGGACCGCGUAGGGCAGGACUUCUGAGCGCAACGGCACAGGGGCUGUAGCAGGAAAUUCCCUGAGGCCAGGGGCUGCUGUGCAACUACAGACUGGCCCUUUUAGUCUGAGAAAACUGGGUGCGACUUGAGGCUGUCCAAAGAAACCUGAGGCUCCUUUAUGCUCCCGACAGCUGUGUAUGGCAGCAUAAUUCCUAAGAGAGUGGCUGGCUUGAAUGGAACACCCUCCCUGCGCAUUAAAAGGCUUAGGCUUCUAGAUACUCGGAACACUUUUCUGAGGCAGCAUAAUCUCUAAUUUUCAGGCAGGCCUGUAUGGAACAUGCUUCAGGCUUCUUAAUUCUCUCAAGAGAAGAGAGGGUUCUCUUUAUAUUCUCUCAAAUUCUUUUUAAUGAGUUAUAUCUUUUCAUAUUUGUGAAUGCCAUAGAGCUAUCUGGAUGAGGGGGUGAAUAAAUAAAACAGCUGUGGGAGUCAGCAUAAUCUCUAAAAUGGGAGCUGGCUUCUAUGUAUGAUAGAAGCACCAGGAUGAUUUAUAACUGCCAACUUUAUAGGGAAGGAUAAUCUCAAAUUUAGCACCUAUCUUUAACUGAACAUUUUUAAUGUGUUCUAUCCCCACAAUAUCGCUUGGAGAACAAUUUAGCAAAAAGAAACGGAGUUGGUGCAUGUGUCCCUACGACCCACGGACCGGAGUGCAGCUCUUGGAGCAUUUGCUCCUCCCCAGGGGCCAACGUGGCAGAUUUCAAGAAACAACCGACAGAGGCGACAUCACAGAAGCCCAGAAGAUGUGAAAGGAGCCAACGACGCAGACACACAAGGCAAGCCAAUCCACAACCCAGGGGCUGCGUAGAAGCUUCAGGCUUCUCUCUUGUCCCAAACAUCAUCAUCAUCAUCAUCAUCAUCAUCACACACUUUAUAUGUGAGCCACCCUGUAACAAAUAGUCCUCUGGGGAGCUCACAACACAACAUUGAAAAACGUCCUAGAAAAGCACAUACAACACCACAAACACAUCACAACACGAAACGGCAGCAUCUCUAAAAUGGUGGCUGCCUUGAAUGGAAGAGGCUUCAUGCCUCUUCAAGCAGCUUUGGGGGAACUGCCAAGAACAGACACAAUACCAUGUACACGUUGUAUUCUGCCAUUUAGAGAACACACUUCACGCGUGUUGGGAGCUUCAAGCUUCUUUAGUCCUGCAUGCUAUUCUUGGGCUUCAUACACUCUAGGAAAGUAGCUGCCUUGAAUGUAAGAAGCUUCAUGCCUCUUGCAUUGUGUCCCCACGAAAACCCUGCGUGGCAAACCGAGCCAGAAGAAACAGAGUCGGCGCAUGUGUCCCUACAUCCUCCAGGCCGGAGUGCAGAUCUUGGAGCAUUUGUUCCUCCCCAGGGGCCAACGUGGCAGAUUUCAAGAAACAACCGACAGAGGCGACAUCACAGAAGCCCAGAAGACGUGAAAGGAGCCAACGACGCAGACACACAAGGCA